rnacentral:rRNA from 1 species
GACGAACGCUGGCGGCGUGCUUAACACAUGCAAGUCGAACGGAAAGGCCCUGCUUUUGUGGGGUGCUCGAGUGGCGAACGGGUGAGUAACACGUGAGUAACCUGCCCUUGACUUUGGGAUAACUUCAGGAAACUGGGGCUAAUACCGGAUAGGAGCUCCUGCUGCAUGGUGGGGGUUGGAAAGUUUCGGCGGUUGGGGAUGGACUCGCGGCUUAUGAGCUUGUUGGUGGGGUAGUGGCUUACCAAGGCUGUGACGGGUAGCCGGCAUGAGAGGGUGACCGGGCACAAGGGUACUGAGGUACGGCGCAGUCGCGUACGGGAGGCAACAGGGGGGAAUAUGGCACAGUGGGCGGAAGUCUGAUGCAGCAACGCCGGGUGCGGGAUGACGGCUUUCGGGGUGUAAACCGCUUUCGCCUGUGACGAAGCGUGAGUGACGGUAAUGGGUAAAGAAGCACCGGCUAACUACGUG